rnacentral:misc_RNA from 1 species
AGUUUAGUGUCUCAAUCUUUAUAGAGUACAUGGUGAUAUGAACUUGAGCUAGUGGACAUGUUAAGGUCUACCAAGGGGAUACGUACUCUAAGAAAUGUCUUGUUUCUGUCAAAAUAGGGCUAAUUAGCGUGCCUAUCUAGUGCAAGGCACAAGCACAUAAAUGUGAGUUAUGGCAGUAUAGCUACCCUAGAUGGAGGUAAGGAUACCACUACUGGCAGUUAUCAGUGGACAGCCCAGUUAGGGCAAGUUGAUAGUAUCAGUGGG